rnacentral:tRNA from 1 species
UGCAUCGGCCAGGAAUCGAACCCGGAGCGCCUGCGUGGCAGGCGAUCAUUCUACCACUGAACCAAAAGC